rnacentral:lncRNA from 1 species
GUUCCAGGGAGGCAGUGGCUGCCAAGCCAGAAAGAGUGGUCUGUACUCGAUAUGAAGGCAAUGGAACUCAGCGCGGGUGUUUGAGCUGGUGUAGUUGGCUGCCAGCUCUUCUCCCCGCUUCAUGAUCCCCUCAUCUCCCUAGGCCCGAGUGGACCAGAUUCCCAGGCUCCCUUGCAGCUAGGUGCGGCCAUGUGAUUGAGAAACAGCCAACAAAACACAAGUGGGAAGGAUGUGUUCCACUUCAAGACCCAGCCUAUAAAAACCUUGCUCUUUCCCUCCCCCCACUUCUUCUUGCUCUUUUCCUCUUGCUUGCAUGUUCCUUCUUGCUCUUUCCCUCUCCCCACUUCUUCUUGCUCUUUUCCUCUUGCUUGCAUGUUCCUUCUUGCUCUUUUCCUCUCCCCACUCACUUAGACAGGGAACCUUGAAAAUGACGGCUUAGAGAUGCCAGAACUGCUGUCUACCUAAGUCCCUCAGUGAUUUUGUGAAGCAGAGGCCUACCUCCAAUCUGGAAGCAUCCUGGACUGUUACAAGAAAAAAAGAAACAAUAAUGCCCAGAAGCUGGAGAUGCUGUGCUCGCACCCAGGAGCUCCAGGAGCCUGAGCCCUUCCACCCUGCCGCAGCCCCCAGAGUCUAGAAGUCAGGAAACCAGCCUGGAGUCUUGCUGGGAACAGAAGAGGCUGGAAGACUUUAUUUCCACUUCCUUCUCAGAGCUAAUGAUUCCACUUGAUGAGUGGUGCGUAGGUCUGUGCCUGGAAUCCGAACCCUCAAACCCUGGGCCACUGAAGCAGAGCAUGCUGACUUAACCACUACGCCACCAGCCAGCCCCAUCAGCAGCAUCUGGAUUUUACAAGAUGAGAAACUGAGUCUUGGAGGCAUUAAAUUGCCUACAGUCACACAAUGGGAAAGCUGGGACUAAAAUCCAUGGAAUGUGACAACAAAGUAAAUGUUCUUACUACCAAAAUACUACUUAUUCUGAACAAGCCAG